GGUUCUAACAUGUACAUGUUAAACUGAAACGAGAUAUCAACACAAAGUCUCCAAAAAUAUUAACAUGCACAUUACUACAAUAUCAAAAUAAAUUUAGAUAUGUUGUACUAGUCUACAGAGUACAAAUAUGAGUUCCAACUUUGAACGCCAAACGAAACUAUCACAAUGAAUUUGACAAGAUAUAAUCAUGAGAGGCAAUACUAAUUUUCAAAACGCAUAACGAAACGAACUAAUUAAAAACAAAAGAAUCUCG
rnacentral:lncRNA from 1 species